rnacentral:rRNA from 1 species
AACGCGAAGAACCUUACCUGGGCUCGAAGCGCAGUGGACCGGGGUAGAAAUAUCCCUUCCCCUUAAAAGGCUGCUGCGGAGGUGCUGCAUGGCUGUCGUCAGCUCGUGUCGUGAGAUGUUGGGUUAAGUCCCGCAACGAGCGCAACCCUUAUCCCUAGUUGCCAUCGGGUCAAGCCGGGCACUCUAGUGAAACUGCCUCGGAUAACGAGGAGGAAGGUGGGGAUGACGUCAAGUCCUCAUGGCCUUUAUGUCCAGGGCUACACACGUGCUACAAUGGUCGGUACAAACCGUCGCAAACCCGUGAGGGGGAGCUAAUCGGAAAAAGCCGGCCUCAGUUCGGAUUGGAGUCUGCAACUCGACUCCAUGAAGCUGGAAUCGCUAGUAAUCGCGGAUCAGAACGCCGCGGUGAAUACGUUCCCGGGCCUUGUACACACCGUACGUC